GGGGUGGGGCUCAGUGGUAGAGUGCUUGCCUGGCACAUGUGAGGCACUGGGUUUGAUUCUCAGCAUCACA
rnacentral:tRNA from 1 species